AGGCUCGCAUGAUUGGUGACGUCACAGAACCUCGAGCACGCGGCGAGCCAGUGGACAACAAGAAGUGGGGUAGGAGAGGUGUCAUAAAUUUUAAUCAACAGUCGAGAAGAAAAGUUAGCCAGACGUCCAUCACUAUUUGAACAUGAGAGACCUGGAAAAGAGAGAGGAGGAAAAAGGAAAUUAAAUCAAUGCAUCAACAGCCAUACCACACCACCUUUGGACCGAGCGUGUAACCUGAUUCCUUACCUGACCUCACCUGACACAUUACCUGAGCCUUACCUGUGCCUCACCUGCCGGUCCUUUCUUCAGUACCUGCAGCUUUAGUCAUAUGCUACACCUGUUGAAAAGUCCGUGACCUCUGGCAGGAACGAGGCAGGUGGGUGGCUGGGAGACAUAUGUGACCUGACUUUAGCUUCCUGUUGACCUGGUAGCUUGAGGUAAAAAGGAAAGAAUGACAAAGAAAAUGGAAUAAAUAUUGUUUGACUUAGAAGAGAGUGAAAACGGGAAGGAUAUGAAGUAGGAAAAUGGGGAAAUGGAAGGAAAUAAUGGAAAUAUUGAAUUGUUACUUUUGGAAAAAAAAAAAUAUGGAAGGAUUGAAGAAGAAAAGAAAAAAAAAAUAUUAUAGGUGAGUUAAAAGGGUCAAGAUUUUGAUUGAAAUGAACGUAACUGAAGUGAAGGGUUUUCGUCCAUGAAGGGCUGAAAGAAAUACACCAUUUCUGAACCUGAAAGUGCAGUGAAGUGAAGUGCUUUUGGUUGAAUUGAGCGUAACUGAAGUGAAAGUUUUUCGUUCGUGAAGGCCUGAAAAAAACCUGGUGAAGUGAAGUGAAGUGAAGUGGCUUAAUGAGUGAAGUGAUCAGCAAGACUGGACUCCCUGCCGUGCCCACCCUGAACAGAAGACCAGCACGCGCACGCAGAUCAUCUGCAAUACAAGUUAUGUGCUUCACCCAAAUUGCUGCCGCUCUGGAAUACUCAACAAAAAGUUACGGACAACACCACAUCCGCACACACGCACAGAGUUGACUUAGAUUCACCUCUUCCGCACACGACUCACGGUCAGUGUGGGUACCGGAGCCGGACACCAGCUGAGUCCGGUUCACACAUGAGGGGAUGGGAGUGAGGUCAUAGUUGAAGCGGAGACUGGGUGCAGAAUCCACAAAAACGUAAUAGUGUGAACCGGCCUUCAGGUGACGGCUCGCACCGCACCUCACCUCACCUGACCCUCGCCAAGUGUCUGUCACUUGGGGAAACACGCAUACAUCCCUUUCUCUUUCCUCCCUUGCGAUUAUCACAAAGGGACAUGCUAAUCUUUCCGUCUUCGCCUCACGCUCUCUUAAUGUAGCAGAUAAAUAGCACCUGACCUCUGCAUCGGGAGGGAUCCAUCACAUCAAGGCCCGCGUCACCUUGUCUUUUCAAGGUGACAAUCAACACACACACUCCAUCGGGAGGGCAGUUCAGGGCCAGACUC